AUCCGGUUGUGUUGUGUUCUAUAUACCGUCUAUUUUUGUACUAAAUCACAUUUGUUUGCCUGUCUUGAAUUGCUCUCACUCACUGCCAGUUUUGUGUUGUUUAUUUUUUCUUUUGUUCUGCGAUUGAAUAUAAAUAUUGAACGCUGCCAAAAAAGAAUACACAGUGAACUUGUAAAUACAAUUAUACGAAGAAAGGCGUUACACGUUUGCCUAUCUUUAGCAAGUGGUUUUGUGUUGGU